AGUGAACGCUGGCGGUAGGCCUAACACAUGCAAGUCGAACGGCAGCACAGUAAGAGCUUGCUCUUACGGGUGGCGAGUGGCGGACGGGUGAGGAAUACAUCGGAAUCUACUUUUUCGUGGGGGAUAACGUAGGGAAACUUACGCUAAUACCGCAUACGACCUACGGGUGAAAGCAGGGGAUCUUCGGACCUUGCGCGAUUGAAUGAGCCGAUGUCGGAUUAGCUAGUUGGCGGGGUAAAGGCCCACCAAGGCGACGAUCCGUAGCUGGUCUGAGAGGAUGAUCAGCCACACUGGAACUGAGACACGGUCCAGACUACUACGGGAGGCAGCAGUGGGGAAUAUUGGACAAUGGGCGCAAGCCUGAUCCAGCCAUACCGCGUGGGUGAAGAAGGCCUUCGGGUUGUAAAGCCCUUUUGUUGGGAAAGAAAAGCAGCAGGUUAAUACCCCGCUGUUCUGACGGUACCCAAAGAAUAAGCACCGGCUAACUUCGU
rnacentral:rRNA from 1 species